UACGGAGGGUGCGAGCGUUGUCCGGAAUCAUUGGGCGUAAAGGGCGCGUAGGCGGCCCUCUAAGUCAGACGUGAAAUCCCCCGGCUUAACCUGGGAACUGCGUCUGAUACUGGAGGGCUUGAGUAUGGGAGAGGGAUGUAGAAUUCCAGGUGUAGCGGUGAAAUGCGUAGAUAUCUGGAGGAACAUCGGUGGCGAAGGCGGCAUCCUGGACCGGUAUUGACGCUGAGGCGCGAAAGCCAGGGGAGCAAACGGG
rnacentral:rRNA from 1 species